UGGGGAAUAUUGGACAAUGGGCGCAAGCCUGAUCCAGCCAUGCCGCGUGAGUGAAGAAGGCCUUCGGGUUGUAAAGCUCUUUUGUUGGGGAAGAAAAGCACGGGAUUAAUACUUCUGUGUUCUGACGGUACCCAAAGAAUAAGCACCGGCUAACUUCGUGCCAGCAGCCGCGGUAAUACGAAGGGUGCAAGCGUUACUCGGAAUUACUGGGCGUAAAGCGUGCGUAGGUGGUUCGUUAAGUCUGAUGUGAAAGCCCCGGGCUCAACCUGGGAACUGCAUUGGAUACUGGCGAUCUGGAGUGCGGUAGAGGGUGGCGGAAUUCCCGGUGUAGCAGUGAAAUGCGUAGAUAUCGGGAGGAACAUCCGUGGCGAAGGCGGCCACCUGGACCAGCACUGACACUGAGGCACGAAAGCGUGGGGAGCAAACA
rnacentral:rRNA from 1 species